AGUGAACGCUGGCGGCGUGCCUAAUACAUGCAAGUCGAGCGAACGCACAGGAAGCUUUCUCCUCUACCGUUGGCGACUGGCGGGUGGGUGACGCAUACAUAACCUACCUAUUAUACUUGGGUGACUUCGUAAGGCCAGAGCUGCUACCACCUCAUAUGUUCUACCGGAUGGAUCAAUAGUUCAUCACGCCUUUCCUGUCUCUUAUAGCUGAAUCCGGACCGCCUUAGCUAGUUGGUAAGGUAACGGCUUACCAAGGCAACGAUGCGUAGCCGACCUGAGAGGGGGAUCGGCCACACUGGAACUGAGACACGGUCCAGACUCCUACGGGAGGCAGCAGUAGGGAAUCUUCCGCAAUGGGCGAAAGCUUGACGGAGCAACGCCGCGUGAGUGAUGAAGGUCUUCGGAUCGUAAAACUCUGUUAUUAGGGAAGAACAAAUGUGUAAGUAAAUAUGCACGUCGUGACGGUACCUAAUCAGAAAGCCACGGCUAACUACGUG
rnacentral:rRNA from 1 species